rnacentral:misc_RNA from 1 species
GAUGAAGAACGUAGCGAAAUGCGAUAAGUAAUGUGAAUUGCAGAAUUCAGUGAAUCAUCGAAUCUUUGAACGCACAUUGCGCCCGCCAGUAUUCUGGCGGGCAUGCCUGUUCGAGCGUCAUUUCAACCAUCAAGCCCUGCUUGCGUUGGGGUCCUGCGGCUGCCCGCAGGCCCUGAAAACCAGUGGCGGGCUCGCUAGUCACACCGAGCGCAGUAAUACAUCUCGCUUUGGGCGUGCGGCGGGUUCUUGCCGUUAAACACCCCCUUUUUAGCAAGGUUGACCUCGGAUCAGGUAGGAAUACCCGCUGAACUUAAGCAUAUCAAUAAGCGGAGGA